rnacentral:rRNA from 1 species
GACGAACGCUGGCGGCGUGCCUAAUACAUGCAAGUGGGACGCAAGGAAACACACUGUGCUUGCACACCGUGUUUUCUUGAGUCGCGAACGGGUGAGUAACGCGUAGGUAACCUGCCUAUUAGCGGGGGAUAACUAUUGGAAACGAUAGCUAAUACCGCAUAAUAUUAAUUAUUGCAUGAUAAUUGAUUGAAAGAUGCAAGCGCAUCACUAGUAGAUGGACCUGCGUUGUAUUAGCUAGUUGGUAAGGUAAGAACUUACCAAGGCGACGAUACAUAGCCGACCUGAGAGGGUGAUCGGCCACACUGGGACUGAGACACGGCCCAGACUCCUACGGGAGGCAGCAGUAGGGAAUCUUCGGCAAUGGACGAAAGUCUGACCGAGCAACGCCGCGUGAGUGAAGAAGGUUUUCGGAUCGUAAAGCUCUGUUGUAAGUCAAGAACGUGUGUGAGAGUGGAAAGUCACACAGGGACGGAGCUACCAGAA